GAGGGUAUAGCCCAAGUGGUAGAGCACAUGCUUAGCAUGCAUGAGGUCCUGGGUUCAAUCCCCAGUACCUCCU
rfam:Camelus ferus unplaced genomic scaffold scaffold765, whole genome shotgun sequence.